rnacentral:rRNA from 1 species
GACGAACGCUGGCGGCGUGCUUUACACAUGCAAGUCGGACGAGUGGCGAACGGGUGAGUAACGCAUCGGAACGUACCGAAUAAUGGGGGAUAACUGUCCGAAAGGACAGCUAAUACCGCAUAUUAUUCGAGCGGCCGAUGUCUGAUUAGCUGGUGGGCGGGGUAAAGGCCCACCAAGGCGACGAUCAGUAGCGGGUCUGAGAGGGUGAUCGCCAACACUGGGAUGGGGCCAGGGCCCAGACUCCUACGGGAGGCAGCAGUGGGGAAUUUUGGACAAUGGGCGCAAGCCGGAUCCAGCCAUGCCGCGUGUCUGAAGAAGGCCUUCGGGUUGUAAAGUACUUUUGUCAGGGAAGCGGUACCUGAAGAAUAAGCACCGGCUAACUACGUGCCAGCAGCCGCGGUAAUAC